GAUGAACGCUGGCGGCGUGCCUAAUACAUGCAAGUCGAGCGAACAGACGAGGAGCUUGCUCCUCUGACGUUAGCGGCGGACGGGUGAGUAACACGUGGAUAACCUACCUAUAAGACUGGGAUAACUUCGGGAAACCGGAGCUAAUACCGGAUAAUAUAUUGAACCGCAUGGUUCAAUAGUGAAAGACGGUUUUGCUGUCACUUAUAGAUGGAUCCGCGCCGCAUUAGCUAGUUGGUAAGGUAACGGCUUACCAAGGCAACGAUGCGUAGCCGACCUGAGAGGGGGAUCGGCCACACUGGAACUGAGACAGGGUCCAGACUCCUACGGGAGGCAGCAGUAGGGAAUGUUACGCAAUGGGCGAAAGCUUGACGGAGCAACGCCGCGUGAGAGAUGAAGGUCUUCGGAUCGUAAAACUCUGUUAUUAGGGAAGAACAAAUGUGGAAGUAACUAUGCACGUCUUGACGGUACCGAAUCAGAAAGCCACGGCUAACUACGUG
rnacentral:rRNA from 1 species